rnacentral:rRNA from 1 species
GAGUUAUGUCAUGUUAUCGAUAUGUGAAUACAUAGCAUAUCAGAAGGCACACCCGGAGAACUGAAACAUCUUAGUACCCGGAGGAAGAGAAAGAAAAUUCGAUUCCCUUAGUAGCGGCGAGCGAAACGGGAAGAGCCCAAACCAACAAGCUUGCUUGUUGGGGUUGUAGGACACUCUAUACGGAGUUACAAAGGACGACAUUAGACGAAUCAUCUGGAAAGAUGAAUCAAAGAAGGUAAUAAUCCUGUAGUCGAAAAUGUUGUCUCUCUUGAGUGGAUCCUGAGUACGACGGAGCACGUGAAAUUCCGUCGGAAUCUGGGAGGACCAUCUCCUAAGGCUAAAUACUCUCUAGUGACCGAUAGUGAACCAGUACCGUGAGGGAAAGGUGAAAAGCACCCCGGAAGGGGAGUGAAAUAGAACCUGAAACCGUGUGCUUACAAGUAGUCAGAGCCCGUUAAUGGGUGAUGGCGUGCCUUUUGUAGAAUGAACCGGCGAGUUACGAUUUGAUGCAAGGUUAAGCAGUAAAUGUGGAGCCGUAGCGAAAGCGAGUCUGAAUAGGGCGUUUAGUAUUUGGUCGUAGACCCGAAACCAGGUGAUCUACCCUUGGUCAGGUUGAAGUUCAGGUAACACUGAAUGGAGGACCGAACCGACUUACGUUGAAAAGUGAGCGGAUGAACUGAGGGUAGCGGAGAAAUUCCAAUCGAACCUGGAGAUAGCUGGUUCUCUCCGAAAUAGCUUUAGGGCUAGCCUCAAGUGAUGAUUAUUGGAGGUAGAGCACUGUUUGGACGAGGGGCCCCUCUCGGGUUACCGAAUUCAGACAAACUCCGAAUGCCAAUUAAUUUAACUUGGGAGUCAGAACAUGGGUGAUAAGGUCCGUGUUCGAAAGGGAAACAGCCCAGACCACCAGCUAAGGUCCCAAAAUAUAUGUUAAGUGGAAAAGGAUGUGGCGUUGCCCAGACAACUAGGAUGUUGGCUUAGAAGCAGCCAUCAUUUAAAGAG